rnacentral:lncRNA from 1 species
GAUACGUGUGUGUGCAUAUGAAGUAACCUUAUUAUCUAUUUUUUUAGCAUGUAUUAUUAAAAGAGACAUUUGAAAAACUCACAAGAUGUUUCUAUUUAUUUUGAUUCUAGACAGAUUUUGGGAAGUUUCAACUUAGACGAUAUGUUCAAAAUAAAAAUACAUUGCAAAUUUCCAUGUUCUAAACUAAUUACAACAAAAGCACAAUUUAGGAGAAUUGAGGGUAGGGGAAAUUAAAUGAAUUAUAAGCUUCAUUAAGCAUAAUUUGAUCAUUGAGUAUACUGAAUUAGAUUUUUACAUUUUUAUUCUUUCUGAUCUAGAUCAAUAUGUCUUGAUCAUCAGUGUGUGUGUGUGUGUGUGUGUGUAUGAUCACCAAUGGUUUUUGUCAUUUUGGAAUGUCAUGUAAAAGGGAAAUGACAGUACCAGACAAACUAUUAUAUGUGUACCAGAGAGUACACAAAAAUUGGCAUUGACUUAUUCACUGAAUCCUCACAGUGAGCGACAUAAAUCAAAACUCCCUGUGACAGUAGGGAAAGGCUGGUAACUUUUAGUAGGAAAUUGAUACAGGUAUGCCUUUCAGAGAAUGAGAGGAGAUUCUUUCCACGGUGCUAUCUACAGUAACUACUUGCAGGGAUGUUGUUCCUUAAUGAAAGGUUUCUUUUAAGAUAUAUGUACCUUUUGUAAUGCUAACAGAAUUGAUGAUGGGAACUGAAAACCUAAGAUGGACUGAUGAACAGAUUGGUUUGCAAACACCUCUUAUGGGUAGAAAAAUGUAGGUAUAACAUAAUUUUUUACUGUAAUGAAUUAUUAUUAUUUGCAAGAAUACAUGACUUUUUUCUUUCUUUCUUUCUUUUUUUUUUUUUUUUUUUGAGACAAGGUCUCCCUUUGUCGCCCAGGCUGGAGUGCAGUGGCGCUAUCUCCUCUCACUGCAAGCUCCACCUCCGGGGUUCCCGCCAUUCUCCUGCCUCAGCCUCCCGAGUAGCUGGGACUACAGGCGCCCACCACCACGGCAGGCUAAUUUUUUGUAUUUUUUUAGUAAAGACGGGAUUUCACCAUGUUGGCCAGGGUGGUCUCGAUCUCUUGACGUCGUAAUCCGCCCGUCUCGGCCUCCCAAAGUGCUGGGAUUACACGUGUGAGCCACUGAGCCCGGCCGACUUUUUCCUUACCCAUUUUUUUCUUCUGCAUGAGGAGGCUACAAUCCUUUCAUUUGAAGAUCCUGUACUUUCCUCACUUGAAGCAGUCACUCUUCUUCAUGAUAUUCAUUUCAUCCCUUCUUGUUACUUCCAAACCGGCCGCCCCGUCUGAGAAGUGAGGAGCCCCUCCACCCGGCAGCCGCCCCGUCCAGGAAGUGAGGAGCAUCUCCGCCUGGCAGCCGCCCCGUCCGGGAGGAAGGUAGGGGGUCAGCCCCCGCCCGGUCGCCGCCCCGUCCGGGAGGUAGGGGGCGCCUCUGCCCAGCCACCCCUUCUGGGAAGUGAGGAGCCCCUCUGCCCGGCCACCACCCCGUCAGGGAGGUGUACCCAACAGCUCAUUGAGAACAGGCCAUGAUGACGAUGGCGGUUUUGUGGAAUAGAAAAGGAGGAAAGGUGGGGAAAAGAUAGAGAAAUCAGAUUGUUGCUGUGUCUGUGUACAAAGAAGUAGACAUAGGAGACUCCAUUUUGUUCUGUACUGGGAGAGGUUCUUCUGCCUUGGGAUGCUGUUGAUCUGUGACCCUGCCCCCAACCCUGUGCUCUCUGGGGCAUGUGCUGUGUCCACUCAGGGUUGAAUGAAUUAAGGGCGGUGCAACAUGUGCUUUGUUAAACAGAUGCUUGAAGGCAGCAUGCUCCUUAAGAGUCAUCACCACUCCCUAAUCUCAAAUACUCAGGGACACAAACACUGCGGAAGGCCGCAGGGUCCUCUGCCUAGGAAAACCAGAGACCUUUGUUCCCUUGUUUAUCUGCUAACCUUCCCUCCACUAUUGUCCUGUGACCCUGCCAAAUCCCCCUCUGAGAGAAACACCCAAGAAUAAUCAAUUAAAAAAAAAAAAAAAAAGCGAGAAAAAAAGAAACAGCUGUAGGAACUGAAAGUGUUUAGCUCAGAUGUGACUAAGGGGUAUCAAUUGGUGUCUUCAAGUAUUGUGGCUCUCGUAGAUAAGAGAAUGAAAAACACAAAAAAGAAAAAAGAAAAAAGUUUUAAAAAGAGAGAAUGAAGUAAUUUAAUUACACUAGAGCCUAGGUGCAAUGAGAAGUUAGCCAGCAGGCAAAUUUAAAUAAAUACUGAAGGGCUGGGCGCUGUGGCUCAGGUCUGUAAUCCCAGCACUUUGGGAGGCCAAGGUGGGUGGAUCAAUUGAGGUCAGUUUGAGACCAGCCUGGCCAACAUGGUGAAACCCCGUCUCUACUAAAAAUACAAAAAUUAGCCGGGUGUGAUGGUGGGCGCCUGUGGUCCCAGCUACUCGGGAGGCUAAGGCAGGAGAAUCACUUGAACUCAGGAGGUGGAGGCUACAGUGAGCCAAGAUCACACCACUGCACUCUAGCCUGGACAGCAGAGCAAGACUCCAUCUCAGAAAUAGAAAAUACAAAAUAAAUAAAUAUUGAAAACAAAAAACAAAACAAAACAAAGAAAUGAAGGGGAGGUUAAAAAAAUUCAAAACAAGCAAAAAACUGAAGGAGUUCAUCACCAUGAAACUACUCUUAUGAGAAAUGCUAAAGGAAGUUUUCACAUUAAAACAAAAUAAUGAUAAGCAACAAUAUGAAGCAUAUGAAAGUAUAAAACUCACUGGCAAAGGUAAAUAUAUAGUCAAAUUCAGAAUACUCUAAUAUUAUAAAGGUAGUCUGUAAAUCACUCUUUUGUGUAAGAGUUAAAAACAAAAUUCAUUUUUUAAAAAAGCUAUGAUUGAUUAACAGAUACAAAAUAUACAUCCAUAGCAUGAUAUUAAUAGCAUAAAAUGUUAAAGUAAAAUACAACAUCAAUAGCAUAGCCUGUGGAGGAAAAGAAUUAAAAGUGCAGUGUCUUGUAUGCAAUUGAAGUUAAGUCACUGUCAGCUUAAAUUAGGGUAUUAUAAUAUGACGGUGUUUUAUGUAAGUCUCAGGGUAGCCAUAAAGCAAAAACUUCAGCAGGGUGUGGUGGCUCAUGCCUGUAACCCCAGCACUUUGGGAGGCUGAGACGGGAGGAUCACAAGGUCAGGAGUUUGAGACCAGCCUGACCAAUAUGGUGAAACCCCAUCUCUACUUAAAAUACAAAAAUUAGCCAGGCAUGGUGCAUGUGCCUGUAAUCCCAGCUACUCAGGAAGCUGAGGCAGGACAAUCACAUGAACCCGGGUGGCAGAGGUUGCAAUGAGCUGAGAUAGUGCCACUGCAUUCCAGCCUGAGCGACAGAAUGAGGCACUGUCUCAAAAAAAAACAAAAACAAAAACAAAACAAAAACUACUAAAUACACAAAAUACAGAGAGAAAGAAAUAAAUUAUACCACUACAAGAUUAAAACAAAUCAUAAACAAAUACAGCCAGAGUGAAAUAAAGGAACAAAAUAAUUUCAAAACAUUUAGUCUAAAUGUAAAUGGAUUAAAUUCUCAAUUUAAAAGCCACAGAGAAGAUGAAUGGAUUAAAAAAAAUUAAAAAAUGAAAAACCAAAGAUCUAUCAAAACACUGCCUACAACAGACUCACGUUAGCCAUUAGAACAAACAUAAGGCCAGAUUCAGUGACUUAUACCUAUAACUCUAGCAUUUGGAGACACUGAGAGAGGAGGAUUGCUUGAGGCCAGGAGUUGAGACUAGUGUGGGCAACAUAGCAAGACCCUAUCUCUACAAAAAAAAAUUUAAGUUAGCCAGCCAUGGUUGUGCAUGCCGAUAGUCCCCACUACUCAGGAGACAGAGGCAAGAGGAUAGCUUGAUCCCAGAAGUUUGAGGCUACAGUGAGUUCUAAACAUGCUACUGAACUCCAGCCUGGACAAUAUAGCAAGAUCCUGUCUCUUUAAAAAAUUUGUUCUAACAAUAAACAUAGAUUGAGAGUGAAGGUAAGGAAAACAUAUUUUAGGCAAAUGAUAAUCAAAAGCGAGCAGGCGUGGCUACACUUAGACAAAAUCGACUUAAAGUCAGAAACAGUAAACAGAGACAAGGAAAGUCAACAUAUAAUGAUAAAGGGGUCAAUUUAGCAAGAGGAUAUAAGAGUUUUUAAUAUAUAUGCACCUACAUCAGAGCACCUAUACAUAUAAAGCAAAUACUAAUAGAUCUGAAGGGUUAGAUAGACUGCAAUAUAAUAAUAUUAUAUAUAGAUAGAAUACAUGAUAGAAUACAUCAAGAAGAAAUAGAAAUCUAAACAGACCAUAGUAGGAGACUUCAGUACUCCACAUUCAACAUUGCGUAGAUCAUCCAGACAGAGAAUCAUUGGAAAAAUAGUGGAACUGAAUAACACUUUGGAUGUAGACCUAAUUGACAUACAUAGAAUAUUCCAUCCAACUGAAACAGAAUACAUCUUUUUUUAACGACACAUGGAAUAUUUUCCGCAAUAGAUUAUACAUUAGGCCACAAAACAAGUCUUAACACAUGUAAGAAGAUUAAGAUCAUACCAAGUAUUUUUUUCUGACUCUAAUGGAAUGAAAAUAGAAAUCAGUAACAGGAGAAAUAUUAGAAAGUUUACAAAUAUACGGAAAUAAAACAACAUGCUUCUGCAACACCAAAGGUGAAAGAAGAAAUUGAAAGGGACAUCAAAAAAUCCUGAGACAAACAAAAGUAAAAACACAACAUACUAAAACUUUGGAGAUGCAGCAAUAGCAGUUCUGAGAAGGAAGUAUACAGCAAUAAAUGCCUACAUAAAAAAAGAAGAGAAACCAAAUAAGCGAUUUAAUAGUACACCUCCAGGAACUAUAAAAGAAAGAUAAAUUAUACUCAAAAUCAUUAGAAAGAAGGAGCGCAUAAAGAUUAAUGAAAUAGGGAGUAGAAAAACAAUAGAAAUAUCAACAAUAAAAAGAAAUGGUUUUUUGAAAAGAUAAACAUAAUUGACAAAACAUUAGCCAGAUUAACUACAAAAAGAGAGAAGACUCAAGUAAAUAAAAUCAGAAAUGAAAUAGGAGAAAUUACUACUGAUAUCACAAAAUUACAAAGGAUCAUGAGUGACCAUUAUGAAUGAUUAUACACCCACAGAUUGGGUAAACUAGAAGUGGAUAAAUUCCUAUAAACGUAUAACUUAGUAAGAAUACAUUAAGAAGAAAUAGAAAUCUAAACAGACCAAUAAUUAGUAAAGAGAUUAAAUCAAUAAUAAUAAUAAACAAUUCUCAUCAAAGAAAAGCUUAGGACCAGAUGGCUUCAUGGUAGAAUUUUACCAAACAUUUAAAGACUAAUUCAUAGCAAUCCUUCUCAAACACUUCCAAAAAAUUGAAGAAGAAAGAAUAUGUCCAAACUAAUUUUACAAGGUCAGCAUUACGCCUA